UAUUCUUUUCAAAUAGUAAUUCAGGUUGUUAUACUAAUUUGAUUGAUGUGGGUGGUGUAAUAAUUCAGGUCGUGUAGGAUGGUCUGCUAAUUUCCCUGAUGCUUCAUCAGGUUUUGGAAGAAUCGGGCUAAGGGGUGAUUGUGCUCAGGUUUUGAUGCAGUGAGAUUCAGAUAAUUUUAAGAAACACAUGCAAAGGAGUCCAAA